UUUAGGUUAAUUUAACUAUAGAAAAUGCCAGUUUGUGGUACUGGAAAUGUGUUUGUGCACCUAAAU
rnacentral:tRNA from 1 species